rnacentral:rRNA from 1 species
UACAGAGGAGCCAAGCGUUGUCCGGAUUGACUGGGCGUAAAGCGCACGCAGGCGGACGCGCGCGUGGGGUGUGAAAUCUGGCCGCUUAACGGCCAGGCGCCAUCCCAUACGGCGCGACUGGAGUGAUGCAGAGGUCGGUGGAAUUGCCGGUGUAGUGGUGAAAUGCGUAGAGAUCGGCAGGAACACCCAGGGGGAAACCAGCCGACUGGGCAUUGACUGACGCUGAGGUGCGAGAGCGUGGGGAGCGAACCGG